ACGCUCGACACCUACGGGAGGCAGCAGUUGGGAAUAUUGGACAAUGGAGGAAACUCUGAUCCAGUGACGCCGCGUGAAGGAAGAAGGUCUUCGGAUUGUAAAACUUAUUUUGUCAGGGAAGAAAAAAUGACUGUACCUGAAGAAAAAGCACCGGCUAACUACGUGCCAACAGCCGCGGUAAUCUGAGCGGGCUGGCAAGGC
rnacentral:rRNA from 1 species